GGCAUCAAUAUGGUGACCUCUCGGGAGCAGGGGACCACCAGGUUGCCUAAGGAGGGGUGAACCGGCCCAGGUCAGAAGUGGAGCAGGUCAAAACUCCCGUGCUGCUCAGUAGUGGGAUCGCGCCUGUGAAUAGCCACUGCACUCCAACCUGGGCAACAUAGCAAGACCCCGUCUCUU
rnacentral:sRNA from 13 species